CACAUGUGGCGCCAUCUCUCCUGUCCUGUGUGGAGCUUAUCGCCUUAAAGAGGCUGCUGUGUGUGCAGAGACACCAAAGACACUGCAAGGCUGUGUUGGAAACAAACGGUACGAUUGAAUAAGAGCUUCAACACAAAGAGUCCUACAUGUCCUGUGGAGUAAUUCAACAUUAACAUCCCCAUCUAAAGGCUGUGCCAGGACUUACAGGGGGGAGGAAGAAUCAGCUGCCGCCACUUGAAGGGAAAACUUAUCUUGAGAUAUAAUUCACAUGUCUGUUUAAUAAUGUACAGCUCUGUGUCCAUUAGUGGGAUUGAUAGUCCCACUUUGAACACUGUAAUGAUAAUUGAUUAUCUACCUUCAUGGACAGAAAGGAGAACAUUACAGUCUACUGUAAUGCUGUGAAGUGAACUUUCAUUCUGCAAUAAUCAAAUAAUAAAAACUGCUAAAUGGUUAA